rnacentral:lncRNA from 1 species
AAAAAAGUCAAACUAAAGAUACGCAUAGUAUUAAUCUAUUAUGGAUGACCUCUUUAAUUUGCUUGUUAUCCAAGACAAUCAAAUGCAAAAAUGACUAUAUAUAUCAACCACAAAAUGGUCACACUAUUGUAUUGUUGAAGAGUAGUGAAGAGGACACAUAAAAUGGCAAUGGGAGUUGAUCUUGCAGAAGCAUAUGUUUUGAGAAAAAUGUAUAAAGAAAAAUUGAAGGAAGGGGAAGAAGCAAAGGGACCCAAGAAUAGCGCGAUUGGAUCGAAGGACGAAAGAUCAAGUAAAUGUUUCUUUUGGUUUUCUAAGAAGUUAAGAAGAACUACACGAAUUAGAGAUAUCAAUGAGAAGGAGCGCAAUAAACAGGUCUUGGAUCCAAUUUAUAAAAAAGCAUCGAUCAGAUGUUGUUAGGGAUAGCUUUAGCUAAGCUAUAAAGAAAUUCUAUUGUAUUCUAUUGUUGUAUGUUUUUUAUCUUAUUUGUGAUCGUCUUCACGACAUGGAUGAACUUGUGAACAAUUAUUUGCAUGGUUUAAUUUUCAUUCAAUCUGUUGUAUUGUUUAACCUUUCCUUAUGUUGCACUAGAAAUUUGAGGUUGAAAUUGUGUCUGAAUGGCUGCUAUCAGUUGGUAAUUGAUUGUUGUGUACACAUAGAAAGAUUUCUCGGAUAUCAGAUUCCAACGACUCAUGACUUCAAUUGUGUUACAUAAUUAAUUCUUCAUUCUUUUUAUUUUUAAUCUCCAAUAGAUGCUGAUUAAUUCAUCUUGUUGGUUAGAAAAAUAUAUUAUUUGCAAGUGAACAUGUAAUGAACUGUUCUAUAAAGUAUCAAAUUGUAAUUUUGCUUAUUCAAUGAAUAUUAUCAUUUUGGAAUUUAUUGCCAAAUUUAAAUUGACGAGUUGUUUAUUCUUUCUGCAUUUAUGUGGAAUCUUCAUGCAUGUUAAUAUCGUCCCUGCUCUUUCUCAACUUGGUCUAUUUGUGCCACUCUUCUGGUUAGUUUAUGUUUGUUUUCAAGAGAAACUCACACUUGUAAGAUGAGUGAUUAAGUCUCAAUAUCGUCUCUUAAUGAAUAAAAUAUUGGAUAUAUAUGAGAGAUUUUUUUUUUUUGAGGGAAAGGAUAUAUAAAAGAGAUGAUGACUUCUAUAUAUGUUCAUUUAUAUUUACUUUAUUUUAACUAUAAGUCUAUAAUCUGACUCAGUUGUGGAAUUUGAUAUCCAUGAUUUUGAUAGGAUAUUAAAAACUUGUAAAAAGUUAAUUUAAAAUUAAAACUCAUUUUGUAUUAAAUAAAUAAAAAAAUGGACAAAAUGGUAUAAAAUGAUUGAAUGAUGAAUGCAUAUUUUUCUUUUGUUGAAGAAAAUACAUAGAGGUAAUUCUGAACCAGAGGUGACAUUUUUUACCUUGAAAACUAUAUUGAAGCCUACGUUAAUCACUUUUUGCAUGAGUAAUUCUUAUUCUCUUUGAUUACGUAUUUUGUCUAUCAGUAACUAAAACACUGUAAAUUAGGGUUGAAUGAUGAACCUCUAUAUUAUUGUUUGAAAUAUGAAAUCUAUGAUGUUUUCUUUUAAAGCAAUUUUAACUAUGUUCGUUGAUUAUAUUUUGUGCUUAAGGAUUUUCAAAGUCCGAUCAACUUUGAACUAUGUUAGCAUUACUCAAUUGUCAGAGAUUUUGCGGUAUUCAGUGGUCGGAAUUCAAAUUUUAAAUUUUCUACUUAUUCAUUUUAACCGACGAAUUUUACCCACUAUAUUAUUUGAAGAAAAAAUAAUGUUUUGAAUUAAAAAAAUCCAAUAAUUUAAGAAUAUUGUAUUCGUUUUCAAACACUCUUAGUAAAAAUCUACCUAACUAAUGAAUUGUUACCAAUAUAACAGAGAAGUUCAUUCUUUUUUUUUUUUUGGCUUAAUUGCACUUUUGGACCCCUAACUAAUUUAAAUACAAAACAGCCCUCUAUGUUUUGAUUCUUUGGCAGUUUUGGACCCCAAGGCAAAAAAAAAGACACGUGGCACCUCACUUAGGGUGCCACGUCAGCAUUGACCGAGUCAACAAUGGACUGGGGUCCAUAACCGCAACUUUUGGAAAGAUAGGGGUCCAAAAGUGCAAUUAAACCUAAUUUUUUUUUUUUUUCUGGUCAAGGAAAAGUUCACUUUUUUAGUCAACACAAUAUGAUUUGAAAACGUUAUUACUUGCUAUCUCAGAUGUGAUCCGUGAGACUGACCAAAUGCCAUCACUACUAUUUUCUAUUGAAAGGAAUAAUAAAUUUAUUACAUUGGCAAUGUAAUGAUAAAAAAAAAAAAUCGUAUUUCACGGAAGCUUCACAAUUUUGCUUGGUCACCAAGAUUCAUAUGCUACUACUAGCUACCAAACAAAAAACAUCACUAUUGUUAAUUUAUUGUUGAAUGCAAACAUGCCUAUAUAUACAAAUGAACAAAUCAACGACAUAACAUACCCAAUAAUAUUAGUCACUAUUUAAUCAUAAUACUUUAACAAGGCAUAUGACUAAAAUAAUACUAAUAAAUAAAGUUAGAGGACUCACAUAACAAAAACUCUAACGUUUAUUUGAAUAAAACUAACAGAAAAGACUAAAUGUAGUAACGGUGAAAAACUUAAAGGAUCAAAAUAAAUCAAUUUUUAGUUAAAGAACCAAUCCGAUACCAAUUAAAUAGUUAAAGGACUAAAAAAGUAAUUUAGCCUUAAUUCAAUAUGUAUUGAUUUGUUAAAUAAAAUAAAUAUUCAAUAUGGAUUGUCGUAUGUUUUUAUGUUAUUUGUGUUCGUAUGUUUUUAUGCAUAGAGUGAUAUUAUGAUGUGUAAUCCAUUACUCUCCACAAUAAGCAUGAAAUGAUCACAAAUUUUUACCUACAUUAUCUAUGUUUAUCUAGUUUCACGCUCAACCGAGGCUUUGCUUAAUCACACUCAAACUAAUAUUUUUUUUUUGGGUAUAUAGACGAAAUGGGAAAGCCAUUAUAAACUCACACACAGAAGUGGAGGUAACGGGGUUCGAACCCCGAUCAUGGCAUCCGGCCUAAUAAUUUCAGCAUUUUUGCCAGUUGAACUAGGACUUAUGGAUACUCAAACUAAUAUAUUUACUCAUCAAAGAGUAAACCUAAGCAAAUUCAACUACAUGCUUGAAACAUGAUGAUUCACACCCAUGAAAGUUAAGUUGGUAUCUAACCAUCAUAAUAACUCUAAAUCUGAAUCUCCCACAAUAUACUCACCAUCUCAAAAUAACUCAUACCUUCGACGUAGAUGACUAUUAUUGAUGUUCAUCUAAAAAUAUACGUCAAUGAUAACUUCAUAUAAAUAUCUAUGUAUGCACCACUCCCAGUUUAGAAUGCAAUGCCUGCAAGCACAAAUGAUUAUGGAAUUUUCCAAUCAGCAGAGUUGUGGGUUCUACAACAGUGUGACACCACUAGACAACACAGUGUCAACAUGGAAUUUUCCAUAUAUGCACAACUUAAUUACUCUUAUACUUCUAUGUCUUUUAGUAUAGUCGUAUUUUACAAAAAUCACGAAAUAAAAAAAGGAGAAAGUUAACUAUUGCUCUUGAGGUAUUGGAUAAAGGGGAUAAAAAUAUAAAUAUAGCAUUGAAAAAUGAUGAAAAGUGAUACAUUUAACUUUUUAAAAAUCAAAAUGUUAUUGAAACCAAUGCAAACAUGUUAAUUUUAGUUUCCUUAACCAUUGCCAUGGUUAGCAAGAUCAAAAAAAAAAAUUGAGUAAUAAAUUUCUUUGAAAAGUGUGUAACUCUUAUUAAAUUUCCCUUUAUGUAUAAGUGUAUUCAAUUAGUUUGAGACCCGUGCCGAGAAAUGAUAUACCGAAAAAAUUAUUUUGUAUAUUUUAAGUAAUAAAAAAAAAGUAAUAUGGUUUUUUAAAUGAAAAUAUGCAUUAUAAAAUGCAUAUAAUUUUUUUAGCAAAAAUGUUAAUUAAAAUUAAAAUCAUAUUUUUAUUUUAGAAAAAACGUAAAUGCAUUUUUUAUCUUCUCUUCAUAUCGUUCUUAACUUAAAAUAUAACUUUUGAGGUUAUUAUAACUGAUUUGUUCGAGAAUAGGGCUUAAUUAAGGAUGAAUCAAUUAUGAUAGUCUUACGUUGGAGGACCGGUACGAUGCAGGAAUGCUCCGAUGAGUUUCCCAGUGACGGUUAGGGCGAGCAACGACGAUACCUGCUAAACAGAAACACACUCCGACACUCAAUUUAAUAUUUGCUCGAGAGAGAGGGAAAAAUAUUCAAAGUUUAGCUUUGAGUUUAUGAGUUUGGAUAAAGUGAGUGUGUACCUGAUGUGGUAGAGGUGUCAUGUUUAUAUAGACAUUGGGGGUUAGUAAUGAUUGUUGAAUGGUAAGAUAAUAGAUAAGGUCGUCAAGAGAUCAUGUUCCAGGUUGUAAGGAGUCCGAAUGUUAUUGUGUGGGCGUUUGUGAAAGGCGUUGUGCUCGUCUGCAUGUCUUGAAUAUAUGGGUCGUUGUAAGGCAUGUGAUGAGUCACUAGUGGACCGUUGAAUCAUAAGGUCUGGUCCGAAACAAUAACAAACUUAAAGAUAAUUGUAGAUUAAAAGAAAUCAUAUACAGUUAAAUUAAUAACUAUAUAAAGGGACAUAGUUUGACUUUGUAACCUGAAAUGACAGGGUUCAAAUCCGAUCUAGGACAACUGCAAUUUAGUCAUUAGUGUCACUGUGAUUUAUAAAAUUCCUCGUUUUAGAUUUUUAUUUUAAUCACUGUACAAAAAAAAUACCUUAACAAAUGCGCCUAAGGUUCUCUAACAAAACACUUUUAAGUUUUUAGUUUUUUUAUUUUAAUUGUAAUAUUAAUAUCAAAAAACAUAAAAAUAGACCCAACCAUUUCCUUUUUUAUUUUUUUGAAAAAACGCCAUACUCUUUGCACAUAAAAAAUGUAAAAUUAAAGUUUAACAAUCCGUAAUUUUUUUGGCAUUAUUUGAAAGCAAAUUCAAAUUUACAAUAAUUUUAAUUAAUGUCUAUUUAUAAAAGGAAGUUGAAUUUGUCUUAUUAUUUCUUUGAGAAAUUUAAAGAAUGUUGUCUCAUUUAUAUAUUAUUUUUAUUUUGAAAUUAAUAAAUAUUAUAGAAAUGAAAAAUAUAGGGUUCGAACUCACGCCCCGCACGAGUUAGCUUUCACUCAUAAAAACAUAAAUUAUUUUGGAAGUAUUCUUUUUAUUGAAUAAUAUUUGGAUGUAUGUUAUUAUUUUUAAAUGAUUAUUUUGUUGCAAAAAUAUGACAAUGUAUUUAUUUAUUUUUAAAAUAAAAUAAAAGUAGAAAGAUCGGUAGAAGAAGAGAAUCUCCAAGGACGUUGACUUCUGGUUGACCUUCCGGUAGAUCUUUCAUCAUAGUCUUCUAAGUUUCCCAAUCCCUUAAUGAUGCUCUUCAUAUGUUUCUUCUUCAUGAUAAGUAAAUUAUGCACACUUGAACAUAUGUUAGUAAUCCAAUUGUUCUUCAAUACUUUGUUAUCAUCAAAACCUAAGAGAACUUCUAUGAAUAUGAAUCAUUCUUGUUCUAACAUAUUCAUCACACGUGUCAAAAAUGGGAGCUCAUCCUCUCAUUACUCUAGGAGACUAUGGGAGGCUAGAUACCUUGGAGGAAGUAUCACUUGGGUUCCAACUACCGAACCUUGUGGUGUUCGACAUCAAGAAUAUUGUUAUGCUGAAUUUCAAAUUUAACCAAUUUUUAGGUAAGGAAUCAAAAGAUUGCAACACUCACUUGACACACUUUCUGGAUACCUAAAACACAAUCAGUCCAGCUGGAUGUCAGAAUUCUUCAAAGAAAAAGGAAGCCCCGUGAUAUUUUAGCAUACCAAUUACCAUCAGGGACUUUUAUGUCAGAGAAGUGAUGUGGACCUCAAAUCUAGCUCAAACAUGAUGUCUCUAUCAAUUUUCAACAAGAUUGUGGGAAUAGAGUUAAAACCUGUGAAGUAAGAAUAGGACUUGAUAAAGACUGUAGAUAUAAAAAUAGAUGGAUUCACUUUCCCUAUCGAGGUAAUAGUUAUGGAAAUGAAAGAAUUUGAUAGUGUUCAAAUGACCUUAGGGAGACCUUUUCUCGCCACUACUCGGACUAUAAUAAAUAUGGAUCAAUGGGAAAUAAUCAUCAGAUUAGGGAAAGAUUACAUCACUUACAAGGUUUCCGAACAGUAUUGUUACCUAAGGCAAAGAGUUGUGUCAAAGGAGGAAGCCAACCUGAAUGCUGAAGAUCAGGAUCAAGAUAAGAAGCAUGAAGGUCAUAGGCUCCUGAGCACAAGUUAGACAUAUAUGUCAGGCCCAAGACGUAAAACACGCGCUGAAUAAGAGGCAACCUAUUUCGUUAAGCUAGUGACCCGAAAGAAGCGUUAAAUUGGAGGAAGCCCAUCAAUUUAUUUUCUGCAUUUAUUUCCUUUUCAAUAAGCUAACCUAAGAUUUCCUUUUAUGAACAAUUUCAUUUCUUAUUCUGCUGCUAAUCCUCAAGUAUUAUCUUAUAAAAUUUUAUUUAUUUGCAUUCAUAUAUAACCUUUCCAUUUAUGCUUAAUUUUGUUUUAGUCUUAGAGAGUUAUUUUAGAAUAUUUACUGCAGAGGUUAGUUUACCCUUACAUUUAAGAGCAUGAUAACUAUUGGGGCUUACUACUGAAGGUAUUCAUAUUAGUCACCAUAUCUUUUUUGAAUAGCAUAACCACCAAUGAGAUUUUGAGCCAAAUAUUUCCAACCAUUCUACUACAAUAAUUCUCUCUAUCAUGAGUGUUCCAUAUGAAUGUUAUUUUUGCUCGAAUUUUCUGUCGUUCUUUAAGGACGAUCGGUCAUGUUAAAUUACACAUGAUAUAUUUUUUUUAGUACCUCGAGCCUUUCAAGCCAUCUAAUUAUUUUCUUAUUAUCCUUUGUGAAACCCCUUUGAGCUGCCAAGAAUAAUUUCUUUUGUUGUUACUAAGUGACGAAUCAUAUCACAGUUCUGAACCUUAAUGUAAUCUAUUUAAUUUCUCUUGGAGAUAGAUAGAUUAUUAUUAUUAUAACAUGGUAUGGUAUGAAAUUAAGUUUGGGGUUGCUUUUUUUAAUUAACGAGAUUUUAAGUUUGGGGUGGGGUACCAGUAAAACUUAUUUAUCAAAAAGAAAAUAAUGAAAAGAAAUGUAGAUUACCAUGGAUCUACAACAAAAAAAAAUAAAAAAUAGAAAAACAAAAUAAAAAUGUGAAGAGCUGAAAACAUCAAAAAUUUUGGUCUCUUUAAACAAAUAUUUAUUUAUUUAUGUUGAAAAAGAUAAAUAGUUCUACUUAGUACGGAUCUUGUUUGAAUCAAGGAAGGAAGGUUGGCAACACAUCAAUCUUUAGUAAGAAUCCUUAGGUUGAUAAUCUAACUCCAAGUUUCUUAGUUAGACUACUUUCCCAAAUUUAUCCACCCUUAACUUAAGCCACGUUACAACCCUAAAAGUCCUCAAAGUGUGUAUAUAAUUUGAUGUUGACUGUCUGUUUAGAAUUGUUUCAAAUUUAUAGCAAGGUACAUUCAUGUGACGACUAGAAUGGGAAAAUAUCGUAACAAGCUCUAACAACUUUAGGAGAUACAUGUGUGUAUGAUGGAAAAGAGUGUGGUUGAGUAUAUGAGCCAUCUUCUCCAAGUUUGUCCCGCUUGAGUGUAAUGAGGUAAGUAAGUUAAUGUUGUUAAUGUGAUGAAUGAUGAUCUGAGCACAACUCCAAAAGGUAUAUUUUUCCAAAAAAAAUGGAAAGAAUAAAGUUCAUUUUUCUUUCGUUACUUGAGAACAAGCAACAAUUUAAGUUUGGGUUGUGAUGACAAGUCAUCCUACGUUAUUCUUAGCAUGUUUUUCAGUCAAUUUCAGUAGGUUUUAUUCUUAGAACAAUUGCUUAUGAUUUAGGGACAUUUGUCUUGUUUUUUAUAUUUGAGUCUGUAAUUAUAUUAUUCCCAAAACAUAUCAAUUUUAGGAUGUUUUGUUGUAAAUUCACGAAGAAAUCAUGCAUAUCGACAAAGCAAGACAUCUGAAGAUUUGUGAAGACCUUGGGAAGAUGAAGAAGGAAGAUUCAAGAGGUCUCGGAAGACAUUACAAAGGGAGGAAUUAUGUUCCCAAGUCUCAAGACACUUUACGUAGAAGAAAACACUCGAAUAGGCAAAGAACUAGACGAUUACAACAUUAUCGACACUCACAUGCGCCCAAGUGCAGAGGUAGGAGCUCCAGGCGCCCAGGAAUUUGCGUUAGGUGCCUAGCACAUGAAACUAUGUGCCUGACAACUGACUCUUCACUCACAUGCACUUAACGCAUGGUCCUUGCUGCCUGACACCUGUUCCUUGCGGCCCAAGGCGCUGUUUUGUGAUUUUUUGUUGCAAAAAGUCCGCGAAUUUAGCCCAAGUUCAGGUGGAAACUCUCCCUAGAAAUGUCGCAUUCCUCAUUUACAAUUUCUCAUUCAAAACGAUGCAGUUAAAGACGAAGACAAGCACUAGGAGCUUCAAGGUAGGAGUUUAUCUCCUCAUUUAAGGUUUUUAUAAGGUAUGUUUUAUUUCUUUUGUAAUUUUUUUGGGUUACCAUGGGUAAUGUAACGCCCUCUUUGAUUAUUUGAUUAUUUUUAUAGAGUUUAGAGUCUAUUAUUUGAUUUAUGUGAUUUAAAUAAUUAUGUGAUGUGUUGUGGAUUUAUUAAGUGACUUAUUUUAUUAUUUAAUAGAAUAAGAUUUGAAAAUAAAGUAAAUAUUGAGAUGAGGGGUUGUUUUGAGAAUUUAGAGAGUUUUGUGGGAAAAGAGGAAAUAAGAUAGAAUAGAUGGGAAGAGAUAAAUAGGAGAAAAUAGGUUUAGAAAAGUUUUCACAUACAACCAGUUUUGGAGAAAAGGGAGAACAAGAGGAGAGAAGAACCAAGAGAGAGCUGCUGAUCGAUUUUCUUCACGUAAGGGUGGGACUAACAUUCAAUCUUCUUAAUCCUAUGAUUCUGAUGAUUAGAUUUAACAUGUUGUAGGGUUAGUUUUUGAGAAUUGGAAAUUAGGGCUAAGAGUGAUCAUUGAGGAUUAGAUGAUGGAAACUUGUAGAAUUGAUGUAGAAAGUGUGUACAGACCUUAGAUAAUCCAUAGGGUGAUGUUUAGAAUCAGUUUUAAGCUUAGAACCAUGUGUUUAGGUGCAUUUUCGUGAAAAUUUACAUUCUGCCCGAGCUGAGAUUAAUCACUCGCCCUCGCGAGUGAUGAUCCUCGCCUCGCGAGUGAUGAUCCUCGCCUCGCGAGUGAUGAACUUCAUCGCUCGCCUCGCGAGCAAUCCCCUUCGCCUCGCGAGUUGCACCUUGUAGCUCGCCAUAGCGAGCAGAUCACUCGCCAUAGCGAGUUCACUAGAGAGGAAACCUGAUUUUGUGAUUUAACUCCUUUAGUCGAGCUUUAGAUGGUUUUGAGUGCCUGAACAUGUAUAAGAAUGAUUAGACAAGUUUUUAGAUUGAAAUUGAACAUGGGGAAAUUAUAAAUGAGAUUUUUGGGUGAAAAAUGUCAAGUUCCCGAGAGCACCCAGUUUCUGUUCGCCACUGCGAGUAGCUUACUCGCCAAGGCGAGCAGCCUUUUCUCUGAACUCGUCAUAGCGAGUAGAGUGGCUCGCCUCGCGGGCUGCAGAGAGACAGACAACCUUGUUUAGGGUUUUGCGAUCUUUGUCGCACGUGAGGUUAUGAGUUGAUCCUUGGGGUAGGAAUAGAGGUUGAUUAUAAUACUACAGAUGUUCAGUGAGUCUGAUAUAAUAUGAUUUGAUGUUGAUAGUAAUGUGAUAUAGUUGUAUAUGCAUUAUGUGAAUUAUAUAAGAUGUUUAAGUUGAUGUUGAUUAUUAUUGAAAUAGUUAUAUCUUGAGAUGUUUAUGUGCUGCCAUGUCACUGUUGUAAAUUAAUUAAGCUGCAUGAGUCGGUCAAGAUGUAAGAUGUUGUUCCAAAAUAUUGGAGUUAUAUAAGAUGUCGAUGUUUCUAAGAUUUAAGUUGUUGAAUCCAUGCAUACUCAUUCAAAUUGGGGGCUUGAUGCCCUAGAACCUUUGCUCAACACGUUGGGGGCUUGAUGUCUUGGAGCCUUUGCUCAAUUAAGUUGAGGGCUUGAUGCCCUGGGAGUGUAUUUAUGCUCAAAUAAGUUGAGGGCUUGAUGCCCUGGAUUGGUACCACAUGCAUGAUUAAGGGUGGGACUAACAUUCAAUCUUCUUAAGCCUAUGGUUCUGAUGAAUAGAUUUAACAUGUUGUAGGGUUAGUUUUUGAGAAUUGGAAAUUAGAGCUAAGAGUGAUCAUUGAGGAUUAGAUGAUGGAAACUUGUAGAAUUGAUGUAGAAAGUGUGUACAGACCUUAGAUAAUCCAUAGGGUGAUGUUUAGAAUCAGUUUUAAGCUUAGAACCAUGUGUUUAGGUGCAUUUUCGGGAAAAUCUACAUUCUGCCCGAGCUGAGAUUCAUCGCUCGCCCACGCGAGGGAUGAACUUCAUCGCUCGCCUCGUGAGCAAUCCCCUUCGCCUCGCGAGUUGCACCUUGUAGCUCGCCAUAGCGAGCAGAUCACUCGCCAUAGCGAGUUCACUAGAGAGGAAACCUGAUUUUGUGAUUUAACUCCUUUAGUCGAGCUUUAGAUGGUUUUGAGUGCCUGAACAUGUAUAAGAAUGAUUAGACAAGUUUUUAGAUUGAAAUUGAACAUGGGGAAAUUAUAAAUGAGAUUUUUGGGUGAAAAAUGUCAAGUUCCCGAGAGCACCCAGUUUCUGUUCGCCACUGCGAGUAGCUUACUCGCCAAGGCGAGCAGCCUUUUCUCUGAACUCGUCAUAGCGAGUAGAGUGGCUCGCCUCGCGGGCUGCAUAGAGACAGACAACCUUGUUUAGGGUUUUGCGAUCUUUGUCGCACGUGAGGUUAUGAGUUGAUCCUUGGGGUAGGAAUAGAGGUUGAUUAUAAUACUACAGAUGUUCAGUGAGUCUGAUAUAAUAUGAUUUGAUGUUGAUAGUAAUGUGAUAUAGUUGUAUAUGCAUUAUGUGAAUUAUAUAAGAUGUUUAAGUUGAUGUUGAUUAUUAUUGAAAUAGUUAUAUCUUGAGAUGUUUAUGUGCUGCCAUGUCACUGUUGUAAAUUAAUUAAGCUGCAUGAGUCGGUCAAGAUGUAAGAUGUUGUUCCAAAAUAUUGGAGUUAUAUAAGAUGUCGAUGUUUCUAAGAUUUAAGUUGUUGAGUCCAUGCAUACUCAUUCAAAUUGGGGGCUUGAUGCCCUAGAUCCUUUGCUCAACACGUUGGGGGCUUGAUGUCUUGGAGCCUUUGCUCAAUUAAGUUGAGGGCUUGAUGCCCUGGGAGUGUAUUUAUGCUCAAAUAAGUUUAGGGCUUGAUGCCCUGGAUUGGUACCACAUGCAUGAUUAAGGGUGGGACUAACAUUCAAUCUUCUUAAGCCUAUGAUUCUGAUGAAUAGAUUUAACAUGUUGUAGGGUUAGUUUUUGAGAAUUGGAAAUUAGGGCUAAGAGUGAUCAUUGAGGAUUAGAUGAUGGAAACUUGUAGAAUUGAUGUAGAAAGUGUGUACAGACCUUAGAUAAUCCAUAGGGUGAUGUUUAGAAUCAGUUUUAAGCUUAGAACCAUGUGUUUAGGUGCAUUUUCGGGAAAAUCUACAUUCUGCCCGAGCUGAGAUUCAUCGCUCGCCCACGCGAGGGAUGAACUUCAUCGCUCGCCUCGCGAGAAAUCCCCUUCGCCUCGCGAGUUGCACCUUGUAGCUCGCCAUAGCGAGCAGAUCACUCGCCAUAGCGAGUUCACUAGAGAGGAAACCUGAUUUUGUGAUUUAACUCCUUUAGUCGAGCUUUAGAUGGUUUUGAGUGCCUGAACAUGUAUAAGAAUGAUUAGACAAGUUUUUAGAUUGAAAUUGAACAUGGGGAAAUUAUAAAUGAGAUUUUUGGGUGAAAAAUGUCAAGUUCCCGAGAGCACCCAGUUUCUGUUCGCCACGGCGAGUAGCUUACUCGCCAAGGCGAGCAGCCUUUUCUCUGAACUCGUCAUAGCGAGUAGAGUGGCUCGCCUCGCGGGCUGCACAGAGAAAGACAGCCUUGUUUAGGGUUUUGCGAUCUUUGUCGCACGUGAGGUUAUGAGUUGAUCCUUGGGGUAGGAAUGGAGGUUGAUUAUAAUAUUACAGAUGUUCAGUGAGUCUGAUAUAAUAUGAUUUUAUGUUGAUAGUAAUGUGAUAUAGUUGUAUAUGCAUGAUGUGAAUUAUAUAAGAUGUUUAAGUUGAUGUUGAUUAUUAUUGAUAUUGUUAUAUCUUGAGAUGUUUAUGUGCUGCCAUGUCACUGUUGUGAUGAGAUAAGACCGCAAGUGCACGGUCUUACCGAAGUAGUAAAAUAUGAGUAUCGUUCCGACAGGGAGUUAUGAAUUCAAUUAACUUUUAAUAAUGAUUAGAUGAAAGUUUCAAAGGUUAAAAGUCUGGAUUUUUAAUUGAAAGUAAAUAAAAGAAAAGAUAAAAGCCUUGGGAUCGUUGGUUUCAUCUAAAUAACAAGUCCUUCUCAAACCAAAACUAUAAGCUUAUAAUGUUAUGUUAGACCUAAUUUCUCAAGACAGUUUCUCUUAUAUUCCUCUAGCAACCAAGCCUAUUUCGCUGACUUGAUUACUAUUAGAUUUUGGUUCCUCUAACAACCAAGCCUAUUUCUCUGACUUGAUUGUUAUUAGUUCCCUUGAAGAUCGAAACUAUAUGUCUCAAAGAUUGCAAAGCCUAUUUCGCUGACUUCACAAUCCUUGUCUAAAUUCACUUGUUCGAAUAUCAAAACUCCACUUUCGUUUUAUGAAUUGAUAUUUGGAAUAAUGGAUAAACAAUUAUCAAACCCUCCACUUUCGUUUCCACAGUUUGAUAAUGGUUGAUCCAUGUUAAAGCGGUGAAUUUAGAUAAGAAAUUAGGGUUACAUAAGAUUAAGGCUUAGAGCUUGGCUUGAUUAGGAUUAUGUCAUUUAGACUUAUCCAACAAUCCCAAGACAGGAGAAGUCUACUCACUAAUGUUCAUCGUAGACAAGGGGAAGAAGAGAGAAAGCAUAAAAGUAAAUAACAAUAAAGUAAAAUGAACUUUUAUUAGAAAGACAAUUGUCACAUAUUGUAUUCAAAGAAAAGAUGAAUAUUUGUGAUGGCUAGCUAUUCUAUUUAUAGCACACAUUUGACUUAAAAUCUAAGCAAGUAUAUUCUAAGAAUAUUCCACGAGAGAUUGCGCGCUAAAAUAGAAUAGCUCAGAAUCCAAGCAAAAGCAGCAAAAGGUGUGGAGACGUAUUUUGUCUCUCAAUCUUCAUAUUUUCGUGUCCAAUCGGCUCCAAAUCCCUUUCUUUUGCUCCAAGACUCAAUCCAUCCAAUAUUCUUUCCUGAAAUAUAAUAAAUUGCAAUUUAAAGUAAACUAUCCUAAAAAGGAAAUAAUACUAAUAUAAAAUUAUAUAAAAUCUAAAUAAAACUAAACUAAAAAGCAUAUUAAAAUAGUAUAUAAAUGACUCAUCAUGUUGUAAAUUAAUUAAGCUGCAUGAGUCGGUCAAGAUGUAAGAUGUUUGUUCCAAAAUAUUGGAGUUAUAUAAGAUGUCGAUGUUUCUAAGAUGUAAGUUGUUGAGUCCAUGCAUACUCAUUCACGUUGGGGGCUUGAUGCCCUAGAUCCUUUGCUCAACACGUUGGGGGCUUGAUGCCCUGGAGCCUUUGCUCAAUUAAGUUGAGGGCUUGAUGCCCUAGGAGUGUAUUUAUGCUCAAAUAAGUUGAGGGCUUGAUGCCUUGGAUUGGUACCACAUGCAUGAUUAAGAAGAUAAGUUGCAUUGUCGAGUCAAGUUGUUAAGUUGAUAUGUUUUAAUGAAAUAUUUAAUGAAGAAUUAUUAUUAUGAUGUGUUGAUGAUGUUUAUGUUGUUAAAUAUAAUUGAUGAAUUAUAUACUUAAUAUUAUUGUUUGUGAAAUCUCACCCCUUCUGCUUGGAAAUAUUGCCCUUCGUAUGGGUAACUUGCAGGUGAUCGAGAAUAAGUUGCUGUUAGUUGCUGUCGUGAGUGGUUUCUCCCUCACCUGUGUCAUUAGGUGUUCUGAUACGUAACGGGAUGGGAACUUUGUUAUUGCUUUUUCUAUUCCUUACGAAUUACUUUAUGGAGUUUCAUGAUUAUGUUUUUAGAUUGGAUUUUUAUGAGAUGUUUAUGAUGAGGUCUUCGUGCCAAAUUAAAGACUGUUCUAGAUGUUGAAUAAAUUCCGCUGCGAAGUAUUAAAUAUUAUGUUGUUGAACUUUGAAGGAUAAAUAGUUAUUUACUUCCUUUUAUGAUUUUAAGAAAAAGAAGUGUGACAUUCCGUUUAUGUGGAUUACUCUGAUUAUUUAUGCGAAAUUUUUAUGUUGGGAAAAACGGGGUGUUACAGGUAACCAAAUCUAUUUAGGCUAGGGUUCUUAGAUGAACCACUAUUAUGUUUGUAGGAUAAUUAUUUAAUUUUAAAGUACUUUAUUCAAUUAUUUUCUAUUCGCUAUUUAGUUUUACUAUAAUGCAUAAGAUUUGUCUCCUUUGAAGCAUAACCUUGAUUUAGGCACUUAGGUAGUGACAUGACCUAAUAUUGAUAUUUAUAUCUGUCUAACCAUGAAGUAAUUACUUAGUAACUCGAAACAAACCGAAAGUGAGCGUACCCUGAUAGUAAGUACAUAGGGAGGUGACAUACCUAAUAUUGAUGAACAUUUGCUGAAAUCACAACUUGGUUUAGCCCAGUAACUUCAUUCUCCUCUCACCUUGGUAAGGUAGACGCUGAUAGGGGUGCUCAUUUAUAGAAAUACCGAGAGGGAGAGUAUGCUAUGUACUUCUAAGAUUCAUGGAUGAGAUAACCUUAAGGAAACCUGGCCACCAUACCUUUGGAAAUUUAGGAACUCUAGUUUAUGUUAUGUUUCAAUUACCCCUGAGGGAGUAUGUUAGAGGAAUAAAGUAUUAGUAAACAAGUAUUAGUGAAUUAGGUUAUUUUAAGUAUUAGUCUUACUUUAAGUCAUUUUACUCUUUUAACCUUGAUGAAUGUAUUUAAGAAGGCAUUGUGCCACAUUUGGAAUUAAUCAAACAUUUCAAAAACUAUCUUCUUCUCUUUAAAAACCUAAAACUCUCAUUCAACACUAUUCUCACAUGACUUCUCGUUUGAACCGAAUUCUAUUCUAAAUCAUUAGAAUUCCUACAUUGAGACUUGGAUUUUAUCGGUUCCUCCCUAGAAUGCAUUUUUACCGUCUCUACAUUGAGAUGGGUAAGACAUGGUCUCUGAUGGGCCCUAACCUUUCGUUCAUGUCUAACCACUAGAAGGUCUCCCUGCUCCUUAGGAGAAAUCUUAUCAACGGCCUCCUUCUCAUGUGGCCUCGUGAUAUAAACAUCCUUGGAUGGAGUUAUGAUGUAUGGAUGUGAAAUGGCAGACAAUCAUCUCAUUUAUCCAACUUCUGUCUCUAGACCAGUCGGAGAAGGCAAGCCCAAAUCCUACGCUCUCAAUACAUGAUCAAGAUACUGAACGUAGCGUUUACUGAUCUCCUGCCCGAUUGUCUGGGGAAUUGUAUUCUCAUGUAGAAUCUUAUGGAUGGUUUGGACAUAACCAAAUUGGCGCAUAACUCGAUCCGACAUAUAUUGGACCCUAAGAGGUAUAUAUUUGAGACAUCUAGAGUAAAGAAUUAUUGCUUCAAAUGGACAUGUAUCACGGUGCCCGUGGUAUGAGUUCUUGACAGUGGAGAUACGAUCCAUGUGACCCAAAUGUGAAAGUGUGGGAUCUAUGACUGCCUGACCCUUUAGGGAAACAAACAUGAUGACACUUGGUGUCGAUCCUCCUUAUAUCCAGCCCAAUAAUCCCUAGCACUAACUUCCUAAAAAUGCUGAAAUAUCGAAUUUGCAACAACACCAUAUCAUUAUCAUUAUUAAAAAACAUGUUUAACAUGUAAAUAAAUGCGCAAUUCUUUUUUUAUUUAUAUAUGUAACAAGUUAAGUAUCCAGCUAGCUAUGCAGUCUUAUUAUGGGAUCCACUGUUAAACUCCUUGUACAAGUGAGCAAGAGAAGUUGCCCCUCGUGCUUAAUUGGAAACUAGCUCCAGGUCUCAUUAGUACUUCAGGUAUAUCAUGUUCAUAUAGUUGGUGCUCUUUUCACUGAAGUGUGUAACCCUUGCCAAGUAUAACAGAUAAAUGCGGAUAACCUGAUUGUGCUUCACCUGCAUCUAUCCAACAUUGUAACACCCCAAUUUUUAAUAUAAAUUUAUUAGUAUUAUUGUUAUUUAAUAUUAGUAAUAUUAGUAUUAUUAGGUAAUUGUCUGUUGAUGUUUUCGAAAAAAAUUGUGGGUAUUGAGCAAGUAGAUGAAUCAGUUAAUUGUUGAAAAAUAGGAGAUUAUUAGAGAUUAAGGGAAAAGACAUAUUUUUAGCAAAAAUGAGAGAAUAGAGAAGUAUUAGUAAGAUGGAGGUUUAAUUAAGUAAGUUGAGUAGUGUUUUAAUUAAAUAAAUAAAAUGAGGUGUAAAUAGUGGAGCUGAAUAGUUAUAAUAGAAUUAGUAACCAAUUUGAGGGUGUGGAGAAAGUAGACCUAUUAAAAAGAUUAAGAGAGAAACAAACACUUGGUGGUUAUAAAUAGAGGAGUAGAUUAGAGAAUUAGGGUUACAACAAAAAAGAGAAAAAGAUAGCGGAGGCAAAAGAAGAAAACUAAGGUUAAGAGGAAAGGAGGCAUAAAGAGACGGCCAAGGAGAGAUUCAAUCGUAGGAAUUCAUCAAUUUGCAUAACAUCAAGGUAAGGGGGAGAAUCUUUCCACUUUAGGGUAUCUUAUCUAUGAUUGGAGGAACGUCUUUAAUUUUAAUUAUGUUGUUGUUGUUAUGAUGAGACUGUGAUGAGAGAUUUAUGAUGAACGAAUUAAAAGAUGAAGUUGAAAGAUGAGAAUUGAGUAAAACUUGUUUAACUUUUUGAAUUGAGUUUUUUAACCAUAAAAAGAGUGGAUAAUCCAGUAGGUUAACAAAGAAUUAGUGUUCAAUUGAUAGUGUAAUCAUGGGGUGAAGAUUAGGGUCGAGUUUGGAGAGUAUACGAUCAAAAACGGAGUCGAAAAGGGUUCCCGAAGUGAAAACGCAGCAUAACUGUGAUUUUGCUAUCACCGUGCAUUUCUUACUGUCUCAGUUUGACAAGUUUAAGUUCCGAAAUGGGUUUAAGUGUCAUCAUGAAAGUUGUAUAUAUGGAUGUUAUCUUUCACUCGCCUUUGGAUUGACUCGAUUUAAGCGUCUAGAACUCUAGAUAUGAUCAAAAUAUUACACUGGGGUGAACAUGGCCGUGCUCUUGUCGAUUUAUGUAACCGAUAAACAAAAAUAAAAACUGGGACUUUUCUAUUCAUAAUUAGGUUUUGAUGUCUUCAUGAAAGUUGUAGAUAUGGAUGUUACAUUUCACUAGCCUUUGGAGGGACUCUAUUUAAGUAUCUAGAACUCAAGAUAUGAUGAAAAUACUACAUAGGGGUCAGCAGGGUCGUCCUCUUUUUCCAAACAUAGAAAAAUCAAUUUUCUGUCACUUUAUGUUCUGAAUUAGGUUUGGGAGUCUUCAUGAAAGUUAUGAUUUAAUUUUAAACACCACAUCUGGGUUAUGCUGCAUUUUUCAAGAAAUUUCAGCACACCCUUUUUAUGGACUCUAAAACAUCUAUAAAAGCAAUUAGAAGUGUGUAAUGUAAACGUAAGGAUUCCUAAACUAUAUAUCUAAAUGAGAAAGUGUGUUUAGGCAUAAGUAGAAGUGAUUACCUCAAAAUAAAGGCGAGUCUAAAACAUGAACUGAUGAUAGUGACGUAAGAAAAUAUAUAGUAAUUAUGAAACUAUAUACGAAGAUAGAAUCUUAAGCUUAAUGAGCCUAAAAGAAUAGGGGGAAAAGGGUAAGGUGUAGAGUCAAAAUUAACAAGUAGAAUGGAGAAAUGGUUUAAGGUAAUGAAGAUGCUAGGUGAAGGAAUAACAUGAACAUAAUUGAAAAUAUAAAGGCGUAAGUUAAAGUAAGGGAUAAUGUUAGAAACAUUGAUAAUGAUGAAGUAACAAACUUAUGUUAAAAUGAAAUGAGUGAGGUCAAUUUAAGAGUGUAUAUGAUGCUGAGAGAAUUGAUAGGACGAAAUAGAAUAGGAAUAGAAAGUUGUGUAUUAAUUAAUGAUUAAUGUAGGGAUACGGCGUGUUGCCGUUAGUAUGAAGUGCGUAGUAAAUAAGGGGAGCCAAUAUUGAGUGCAAGUUUUAAUGACAAUGUUGAGAAAUGACAAUGUUGAGUAAUAACAAUGUUGUGUAAUGAAGAAAUCAUAAUGUUGAAUAAUGUUGAUUAAUGAUGACGUAAAUGAUGAGUCUGACAUAUGAAAUUCUGUUGUAGUUAUGAGUUAUUGAUGAUGUGUUAUAUGUGGUCUUUAGAGAGUCUCACCUCAUGCAUCAUAUCAUAUUUAGAACCAUGUUGUUCAGUAACACAACUCUAACAUACAAAUUUUGAUUAGAAACAUGUACUGGGAUGCAUAUAAGUCUAGGAACAAAAUGCAUUUGCAUAUGUCUCAUGUUAGGUGAAUAUGAAGUAUAUGUGAUAUGUGUCAAUGUGAUGUAUUGUGCGUGAUAUAUACAUUUUUUUUAUGUGUUAAAAUUGAAAAAUUAUGAUAAUGAUGAUGUGUUAAUGAUGUUGUAUAACCUGAUGAAGAAUUGUGAAUAUGUUGUAAAUGAUGAUCAAAUGAUGUUAUGCCUAUUUAUAUAUUAUUCAUGUAUCCCAAUAUAUGUUAUGAUGAAUAUUCUCAUCCCUUUGUUGUUGUUGUGUAUUAUGGUGUCUGUACUCUUGGGGUACAUACACUAAGGACGAGGAGCUCUAGUGUGCGGGACGUUUAGAAGGUGGCGACGAAAAUAUACUUUUGUAACUAUUAUCUAAAUAUUUAUGUUGUCGAAUAAUCAUGUGCUCUGAUCUGUAACACUAUGGAUGAGGUCAAACAUUGAAUGUUUAAUUUUAGGAAUCUUAAGUAUUUGAAUCAUUAUGAUAUUUUCCACAAUGACGAUUGAGGAUCAGACAUGUUUAUUUUAUGAAAUAUGUUUUAAGUAUUUUCCGCAUUCUGAAAUAUGACGUAUUAUUUAUUAUUCGAGUGAAUGAUUGAUGAGUAUGUAUAACAUCCUUUUUGUUUAAAUUUAUUCGCAUUAUUUAUUAAAUCAACGUUGGGAAUUAGGGUGUUACAAACAUCACCAUCUUCCUGAGCGCCAUCUUCUUCCUGAAGAAGCUUCUUAAAAUAUGCCCUCAACCAGCCGAAAGGUGGAUAAGCACCCUUCAUAUUUUUGAAAUCAAAUCAACUUCAUCAGACCUAGAAGGAGGACCAUUGAAGUUUAGGAGCCGACCCUUGAUUGGGAGAUGCAGCAGACAUGACAUGUCGUCAAGUUUCACUAUCAUAUCCCCAAUCAAAAAUAUGGAAGCUAGAUGCCUCUUUGUGCCAUCUCUUAACCAUUGCUCUUACAUCCUUUUCAAAUUGGCUUCAUGUAUAGCCUGCAGGUUUUUUCCGUUGUUCACACACUUUAAAUGGCCACGCCACUAAUUAAUAUCAAUACGAUCCAGUUCAGUUUAAUUAAUAAAAACAUUGUUCAAAGAAUUAAAUUUAUAAAAUCUUACUACUCAUCAUACAUUAUCAUGGCCAUGUGAAAAUGGUACUGAGUGAGCACAGGCACGUCAUGUUAGCCAUCAGGAUAGUCAUCCAUCGAUUCUGGCUCCACCUCCAUCUCCUUUUGAGGUUCGUCAUCACCAUUUUCCUUCUCCACCUCCACCUCCUCGUGCUCUAUUUUGUGUUUCUCGGGCUUGGGCUAGUUCGCCUGAUAUGGUAUGGAGCCUUCCGCACGACACCACUGCCACUCGCCUUCCUACUCUCCCUUCUGUUUCGUUCCUAUGUGUUCACUCUUGCCUAACAAAAACAGUCAUGUUAGUUCUCUCGUUUCUAAGGCGGUCUUUCCGGUCCAAAUCUGAAACAUGCAAAAUCACAUAAGCAAUUAACAAAACUCCACAAAAUUGCCAAAAACAACAUAUACUUAUACAGUUCGGAUUAUAUAAUCCAAAUUAGGAACAAUAUGGUUCGAAUUAUAAAAUCAUAACAGGUUCAGUAAUUCAGGAAAAAUGUUAUCCCAAUAUCGAUAAUUCGAGAGAAUAAUAUCUUACCUUGUGUCCGCCGUUUGAAAUUGUUUGAGAUUGUCUUUCAGCCAAAAAAAAACCUCAUGAAACACAAAUGUUGGAUUUUCAGAUUUUGGGGUGUGAGAUCCAAGUUUUAGAGCAAAAUAGAAAAAUUGGAUAAAAUAUAUAUAAAAAAUGUUUGAAUUAUAAAGUUCGAAAUAUGAUUCAGAUUCUAUUAUUUAAACAAAUAGUAGUAUUUUAGAAAGGAAAAAAAAAAAAGGUUGCAUGAGAAAUACAAAUGGUGCAUAACACGUAGAUUGAACAAUAAUGGUCUAUCCCUCCCUACAAAAAAAAAAUAACAAAAACAAUAAUAGUCCAAUUUGUGUGACGGCCACGGCAUGCGUUUGUAAUGACAUUCCUAGCAAUAGAUGUAGAAAGACACAAAUAAAUGUCCCUAUAGUGACAAUGAUAACGACAACGGAGAAAUCAGUAAUCACUCAAACAAUGUUAGAUUAGAUAUAUUUAAGAGAAGUGUUAUUUUUACGAAAAUCAAUAUAGAGAUAAAGUAAAAAAUAAUGUCAGUAUAAGAGAGAAAAUUGUCAUUAAAAUUGUUAAAAAUAGAUGUUCAAAUAUCAUUUUGCUAUUUAAAAAGAGCAAUGUUUCAUUGACACCGUAAAUUUAUAGAGUAAUAAUAUUUGAACAACUAUUUUGUUACAACUUUUGGGAGAACUUUGUUGUGUUAUCUUUUUAUUGAUCAAAAACAAUAUAGAGAGAAAAAGGAAGAGAAAGAAUAAGAACAUAAUGUGAGUAUGAGAGAGAAAUUUGUACAAAAGUUGUACAAAAAUGGUUGUACAAAUAUCAUUUCUCUAAUUAUACCCUCCAUUUAAUAAACAUUAAAAAACUAUUUAAUAAAUAAAACAAAUUAGGUAAGAUAUUCUUUUUAUCCAUAAAAUAAGAAAUAAAAAAAUAUCGUAAGAAAACAAAUGAAUUUUUUUUUUUUUUGAGCAAGAAAACAAAUGAAUUUAUUAAAAUCAUAAUCACUUAAACAUUUAAUGAUAACUUCUUUUAGAAGAUAUAUUUAAUGAUAACUUUAAUUUCCAAUUUUUUUUUUUACUUUUAGAGAAUUUCUAUUUUAAUUAUGUUAUUAAGGAAAUCUAAUCUUAUUCCAAUGCAGACUUUUUGUUUUUUUUAAAGAAAAGGACUUAUAUCAUUUCACUAGUCAAAAUGUGUUCAAUACAAUCAAGUGGCUCAACUAAGAGCUGGAAACUAGCUGAUAAUAGGGCCGCCUUUGCUAACUUAUGGACAACCUCAUUUGCUUGUCUCCGUACAAACUCAACACCAGAGUUUUCAUAAUACUAACUAAAUAGGAUUUAAUUACAUUCAUUAAUAAUAGCACCAUAUUCCGUAUAAUCUUGCUUGUUAGAGGCAAAGCUGUCGACAACCUUCUUCGAGUCAAGUUCAAAGUCUAUUGAUGCUAACCAAUUCAUGAACCCAUUGAAUAGCUGAUAACAAACCCAACGCUUCUCAAAUAUGCACCUCAUGCUUGUGCUCAAAACAUUCCUUCUUCACAAGCACAAACGUGCCUUCUUCAUCUAUAAUACAUACACCAAUAUCCACUCGGUUGUCAUUAUUUGGAAAGCUUAAAUGCUUUUUUGGUCCCUUAAGUAUUUAAUUGGUAUUGCUUUGGUCCCUUAACUAAAAAAAAGAUUGUUUGAGUACUUUAAGUUUUAUUAUAGUCUCGUUUUGGUUCCUCCUAUUAGGCUUCCGUUAGGGUUUAAAAAAAAAGUUAAUUCCUGGACACGUGUCACCUUGUCAUUGGCUCUGAGUUUUUUUUACAAAAAAAAAAUUACAAAUUUUUUUAAAAUAUAUGUUUUAAAAAUAAAUAAUCCCAAAGCCAAUGACAAAGUGAUAUGUGUCCCAGAGUUAACACGUGUCACCUUGUCAUUGGUUAUGGGAAAUUUUUACAAAAAAAUAAAAUAUAUAUAUUAAAAAAAAUUCUAAAAAAAAUUCUUAGAGCCAAUGACAAGGUGACAUGUGUCCACACUUAACGUUUUUUAUUAAACCUAACGGAAACCUAACAGAAGGGAUCAAAGCGAUACCAAUUAAAUACUUUAGAGACCAAAAGAGCAUUUAAGCCUAUUUGAAAAGAAAGCGCCUUCUUUACCAUUAUAAUAAUUUUUAAUAAAACAUAAUAUUUUUUUUCUGAUUAUUACUUAUAUAAAACUCUUUUUUCACUAAAAAUGGUAAACAACUUUCUUUGAACUGAACCCAUUUGGGGUUGGCCUAGUGGUUGGCUUGGGAUCUUGGAGUUUGCUCCUCCAGAGGUCUCAGGUUCGAUUUCCUCUGGUGCCAAUUUCGGUGGGCUAAGUCCAUACAGAGCUUGCUCUGGCUUUAAACAGGACCCCCCCCAAGUGGGCGGUCGGAUACCGAGUUUUCAAAAAAAAAAAAACUUUCUUUGAACUGUUUUAUAGAGGGAAAUAUUAACUAAAGACAUUUUUUUUUACAAAAAAUGAACGCAUAUUAUUAACUAAUUUUUUUUUUUAUAACCAAGAAAUUUGUAUGAAGUUUUCACCGUGAUUUAUCAAUGACUAAUUUUUAUCGAAAAACUUGUAGGGCUCAUAAGGUGGGUUCUUCCCUCUCAACCAUUUCUUUUUUCAAUAUGCAUGAGUCAUAUAAUUUGAACCUCUAAUUACAUGUUUAAAGAGUCAAAAUCUCUUAUCAUUUGAACCAAUAUAUUGUUGGUGGAAAGUAAAUAUUUUAUUCUCAAUUGCAAGAUUUUAUAUAAAUAAGAAAAAAGAAAAGAAAAAAGGCAACUGAUGGGUCAAAGUCAAACUAGACGGUGUGAGAUGGGUUUCUUUGCUUGUUCCUCAAGCCUAUACCAAGUCCUAUAAGUAUACAAAUUAAUUCAUUCUUUCUUCUCACUUCCAACACAAUUUUGAUUAUCAUUGAUAAAUUUGAAACUAGAAAUGGCAUCUGCAGGAUUUGGACUAGCUGAAACAUACGUGAUGCAAAAGAUGUACAAUGAAAAAAUGAAGAAAAUAGCACAUGAAGAGAAACAAGAUGUUUCUCCUGGUAUGGUUAGAAAGGAUUCUAUUCACAAAACAUCAAUUGGUUGUUUCUCCUUUUUUCCCAAACAUCAGCAUAGGAAUAUUUCUCGGAUAUCAGAUUCCAACGACUCAUGACUUCAAAUUGUGUUACAUAAUUAAUUCUUCAUUUCUUUUUUUUUUUUUUUAAUCUCCAAUAGAUGCUGAUUAAUUCAUCUUGUUGGUUAGAAAAUUAUAUUAUUUGCAAGUGAACAUGUAAUGAACUGUUCUAUAAAGUAUCAAAUUGUAAGUUUGUUUAUCCAAUGAAUUAAUAUUAUCAUUUUGGACGUCUAAGCUCUUUCUCAACUUAGUCUUUUUGUGCCACUCUUCUGGUUAGUUUAUGUUUGUUUUCAAGAGAAACUCACACUUGUAAGAUGAGUGAUUAAAUCUGGCAUCGUCUCUCAAUGAAUAAAAUAUUGGAUAUAUAAGAGAGUUGAUGAACUUCUAUAUAUGUUCAUUUAUAUAUUUACUUUAUUUUAACUAUAAGACUAUCAUUUGAUUCGGUUGUAGAAUUUUCAGAUUAAAAAUAUAUUAUUUGAUAUCCUUGAUUUUGAUAGGAUAUUGAUAACUUGUAAAAAGUUAAUUUAAAAUUUAAAUUCAUUUUGAAUUAAUAUUAGUUAAAUAAAAAGAUGGACAAAAGGGUAUAAAAUGAUUGAAUUAAUGAUGAGUAAUUCUUAUUCUUUGAUUAUGUAUUUUGUCAAUAUCAGUAACUAAAAUACUUUAAAUUAAGGUUGAAUGAUGAACCUCUAUAUAAUUGUUUGAACUAUGAAAUCUAUGAUGUCUUCUUUUAAAACAAUUUGAAUUAUGUUGUUGAGUAUAUUUUAUGCUAAAGGAUUUUCAACGCCGGAUCAACUUUGAACUAUGUAAUCUAUUACAUAAUACUUAUCAAAUAUUAUCGUAGUCCCGUUAGCAUUACUCAAUUGGCAGAGAUGUUGCAGUAUGCGGUUGUCGGAAUUCAAAUUUUAAAUUUCUUACUUAUUCAUCUUAAUUGAUGAAUUUUUACCCACUAUAUUAUUUUUAAAAAAAAAAGUUUUGAAUUAAAUAUAUCCAAUAAUUUCAAAAUAUUGUAUUAGUUUUCAAACAUUCCGAGUAAAAAUCUACCUAACCAUAUAUCGAAUUUCACUUUUUUUUUUGGGUCAAGGAAAAGUUCACUUUUUUAGUCAACACAAUACGAUAAAAAGAUUGGCAAUGUAAUGAUGAUGAAAAAGAAAUGGUAUUUCACGGAAGCUUCACAAUUUUGCUUGGUCACCAAGAUUGAUAUGUCUACUAGCUAUCAAACAAAAAACAUCACUAUUGAUAAUUUAUUGCGUAUGACAAUAAAAUGCAAACAUGUCUAUAUAUACAAAUGAACAAAUCAACUACAUAACUGACCCAAAAAAAAAAGUCACACUAUUGUAUUGUUGAAGAGUGAAGAGGACGUAUAAGAUGGCAGUGGGAGUUGAUGUUGCAGAAGCAUGUGUGUUAAGAAAGAUGUGUAAAGAAAAAAUGAAGGAAGGAGAAGAAGCAAAGGGACCCAAGAAUAGCAUGAUUGAAGCAAAGACCCAAAGAUCAAGUGGAUGUUUGUUUUGGUUUUCUAAGAAGCUAGGAAGAAUUACACGAAUUAGAGACAUCAAUGAGACCGAGCGGAAAAAGAAGGUAUUGAUUAGAUAAUUUUGUCCUUACAUAUAUUAUGCAGUGUUUUUACCAACUGAAUUAAACUCACAGAGAUGUAUUAUAUUAUAUAGUGAUUAAUUCAAUAUGUAUUGAUUUGUCAAAUGAAAUAAAAUAUUCAAUAUAUAUUAUAUUGUUGUAUGUUUUGAUGUUAUUUGUGUUCGUCUUCACCACAUGGGCGAAAUCGUGAACAAUUAUUUGCAUGAUUUGUUUGUUUAAUCUGAAGCUCCCACAACAUACUCACAAUCUCAAAAUAACUCAUACCUCCGACGUAGACGACUAUUAGACUAUUAUUCAUGUUCAUCAUUCAUCAAAAAAUAUAUAUCAAUGAGAAAUUCAUAUAAAUCUAUGUAUGCAUCACUCCCAGUUUAGAAUGCAAUGCCUACAAGCAUAAAUGAUUAUGGAAUUUUCCAAUUCAAUUAGCAACGAGUUGUGGGUUCUACAACAGUGUGACACCACAACGUGGGGCUAAGUUAAAGUGGGUCCUACAAUAGAGUGACAUCACAUUAUAAGUGUUAACAUAGAAUUUUCCAUAUCUGCACAACUUAAUUACUCUUGCAGUGUUAUGUAUAUCUAUUAGUGGAUGUCGAUCUAUUAUCCUUCCACAUGAUUGUAACUUCCACGAGUAAGUGGAUUGUAAAGUGUCUAUUCUUUCACCUAUUUGUAUCUUAUAAAUAUGACCUAUAAUGCAAAGUAAAGGUACACUUGUGAAGCAAUGCAAUAUACUCUUUUAUUCUCACUUUAUCCUUUUCUCUCUACUUUUAUAUGUUGUACAAUAUCAUGCAAUACUUUAGAUUAAUUUCAUAACACGUUAUCAGCACGGAGCUCUAAACAAUCCAAG